rnacentral:rRNA from 1 species
GUCUAUAUGAGAGUUAUAUAAAGUCUGGCCUGCCCACUGGGGACUAAAGGGCCGCGGUAUUAUGACCGUGCGAAGGUAGCAUAAUCAUUAGUCUUUUAAUUGAGGGCUGGAAUGAAUGGUUGGACGAGAAGUAAGCUGUCUUUAUUUCAUGGAUUGAAUUUAACUUUUAAGUGAAAAGGCUUAAAUGGGUUAGAGGGACGAUAAGACCCUAUAAAGUUUAUACAUGGAGUUAGUUAAGAGUGAUUUAGGAUAGUAAAGUUUGUUAUUAGCAAGAUGUUUGGUUGGGGCGACUAGAAUAUAAGUUAUAUAACUGUUUUUUAUUUAAGUCAGAGGUAUUUGUUUAUAGUGAUCCCUUUUUAGGAUUAAAGAGUAAAUUACUUUAGGGAUAACAGCGUAAUUUUUUUUGAGAGUUCGUAUCGACAAAAGAGUUUGCGACCUCGAUGUUGAAUUAAAAAUUUCUCUGUGGUGUAGUGGUUGCAGGAGAAGGUCUGUUCGACCUUUAAAUUUUUACAUGAUUUGAGUUCAGACCGGCGUGAGCCAGGUGG